rnacentral:rRNA from 1 species
AGAGUUUGAUCCUGGCUCAGGACGAACGCUGGCGGCGUGCCUAACACAUGCAAGUCGAGCGAUGAACCCUUCGGGGGGAUUAGCGGCGGACGGGUGAGUAACACGUGGGUAACCUGCCUCAAAGAGGGGGAUAGCCUCCCGAAAGGGAGAUCAAUACCGCAUAACAUCAAAUUAUCGCAUGGUAGUUUGAUCAAAGGAGUAAUCCGCUUUGAGAUGGACCCGCGGCGCAUUAGCUAGUUGGUGAGGUAACGGCUCACCAAGGCGACGAUGCGUAGCCGACCUGAGAGGGUGAUCGGCCACAUUGGAACUGAGACACGGUCCAGACUCCUACGGGAGGCAGCAGUGGGGAAUAUUGCACAAUGGGCGAAAGCCUGAUGCAGCAACGCCGCGUGAGUGAUGAAGGCCUUCGGGUUGUAAAGCUCUGUCUUCUGGGACGAUAAUGACGGUACCAGAGGAGGAAGCCACGGCUAACUACGUGCCAGCAGCCGCGGUAAUACGUAGGUGGCAAGCGUUGUCCGGAUUUACUGGGCGUAAAGGAUGCGUAGGCGGAUAUUUAAGUCAGAUGUGAAAUACCCGAGCUCAACUUGGGUGCUGCAUUUGAAACUGGAUAUCUAGAGUGCGGGAGAGGUAAGUGGAAUUCCUAGUGUAGCGGUGAAAUGCGUAGAGAUUAGGAAGAACACCAGUGGCGAAGGCGACUUACUGGACCGUAACUGACGCUGAGGCAUGAAAGCGUGGGGAGCAAACAGGAUUAGAUACCCUGGUAGUCCACGCCGUGAACGAUGGGUACUAGGUGUGGGAGG